rnacentral:rRNA from 1 species
CUCGUAGGCGGCCAACUAAGUCGGACGUGAAAUCCCUCGGCUCAACUGGGGAACUGCGUCCGAUACUGGAUGGCUUGAGUUCGGGAGAGGGAUGUGGAAUUCCAGGUGUAGCGGUGAAAUGCGUAGAUAUCUGGAGGAACACCGGUGGCGAAGGCGGCAUCCUGGACCGACACUGACGCUGAUGAGCGAAAGCCAGGGGAGCAAACA